rnacentral:lncRNA from 1 species
UCCGAUUUCAAGGAGAUGGCAAUAAUCACCAGGAGGGAAUUUGAGAAGAAUUUCCCAUUAAAGUAUUACUUGAAGAUGCUGACACCACUUGAAGCAUUAAGAUGUGAUGGAUUACGCCUUCUUCCAACAGAUGUGUAUUCAAAUUUGGUAAGAUUCUUCUACUGCAAUCUCGAAGUAGGGAAUAUACAACACGAUUUUAUCUGAAAUCACAUGAAUUACAUUUUUAUAAACAAACUAAGCCAACUUGAGAAAUAUGUGGAAAGAAAAAAAAUGAAUGAGGUGAUCGCCGUCAACAGAGUCAUAGGAGCCACACAAACGAAAGAGCUAAAAGAAGAAUUUAGGCUAUUUCAUAGGUACAUCGCAUAUAAUAUAAUUCUCAAGAGGGACAUUAUAAUCAAAUGACAACCAUGGAUAGCUUUAUCAUAUAUAGAGUUGCGAUUGACGAACCUCUAAAUCUGAACUACAUAAUCUUGAAAGAGAUGGCUGAUGUAAGGAAUCACAAAAAUAGAGCCCUACCUUUUGGUGCUUUCUUAACUAAGAUCCUUAAAUAUUUUAGAGUUAAGUUCAGCAAUCAAAUCAAUCAGUACAUAGAUGGAGGUUUCUAUAAACAUAUGAUAAAAAGGAGAAUAAGUGGGAAAGAAGAAGGAGAAGAGGAAAGCAAUCACCAUGCUAUAGAUAUUGAAGGUCGUUUUGAGGAGCUUCCACUACAAACUGAGGAGAUUCAUGAGGAUUGUAUGCCAUGCUUGCAAUAUAUGUCAUGUUGAUUACAUAAUAUGCUUGACCUGCCAAUUCUACUUAAAGUUGUUAGAAUUUCAUUCUAAUACUUGAAAUCCUAGAAAAUUUAACAAGGCAUAAAGAUAGGGGGAGCAUGUAAAUCUUAAAACAAAACAAACGAUUUUCAAAAACAAGUGGUGUCAUCAUCAAAAAGGAAAAGAUUUUUGAAAUAAAGACAUAUUUGAUUUUUAUGAAAAUCGAUUUAAUGAAAAAUGAAUUCACAUGUGUUAAAUUCAAAAUAGUUGUAAAUAAGUUUGUUUUAAGAUUAAACAUGCAUCCAUAGAUUGAUAAAAUAACUUAAAGUUUGAAAAAUUCAUGUGACUAACUCAUACUUUUGAAGAAAAAAAAUAGUUCUCGUAAAAUUAAGUCUACACAUAAUUUAAAUGAUAUCCGUAAUCUUUUACAAGUCAUAUUACAUGUAAUCAUGAACAUAAAAGUGGUAGAAUAAUCAAAUCAUCACUUAAACUCAAAUUGGAUAGUUAACUGCUUUGAACUGCUAAAGAAACAGUAUAAAAGUUGUUACUGUCAUAAGUUCAGUCGACCAAACUUGUUGACCGAAGCCUAAAACCUUCAUCCAAAGUGAAAUGGAAGCUCAAACCAUUAAUAGAGUUGCUCCUUAGAAGAACAAUGUAACAACGACCGAAGUUCACAUUCGGUUGAAGUUGAGGAAAACACAACCAAAGUGGAAACAAAGGAAUAAACAACUCUUUGAAAAAUCAGAGAAAACAUAACCGAAGUUAAGGUUCAGUAGACCGAAGUCUCGACCGAAAUUGAGAUUCGGUCAGCCGAAGUAAGUUAAGAGCCAAAUUAAAGAACAUAGUGCAUUUUGGAAAUGAAGAACAAUGUCAACCAAAGUUGAUAUUUGGUAGAUCGAAAGUUACAAACCAUCGAACGAAGUUCCCAAAUCCUUCAGCAGACAGGAAGAAUUAGUCUCUAGAAUCUCUGUGCAAACUCGACCGAAGUUUGAACAUUUUGAUCAUGCAUGUCCAAAUCAAGAUCCAAUGGCUGAGAUUGAAUUGGAACGGUUAGAUUAGAAGCAUUAAAUGCUGCAACGAGUCUAUUCAAGUUUUGGCUUCUAAAUUCAAACUUUGGGGUUAUUGGAAGGGUAUUGAAGUGCCAUAAAAUCCUAUUAACAUUUGUAUUCAAUACUUCAAUCCAUUCAUUUAUUAUGAGUUUGAUUUAUCAAAGAUCAAAGAGAACAAGAUCACUCUAGAUAAGAAAGCUAUAUUAUUCUUGUAUUUGAUCUAGAGUUGGUGAGCUUAAGUUACUUCAACUAUUACAUCUUGUUGAAAGGAUCACUGUAAGUGAUUGUAAAAUUUCCAAGAGAGAGAUUCCCUUGAAGACUAAAAGUGUUCUAGUGUUUGUAAAGGUUGUCAACCACUUGCAAGCUUGAAGAUAGUGAAUUUCCAAGGAGAAGUAUAGAGCGUGGACGUAGGCCGAGAUUUAUCGAACCACUAUAAAUCGUUUACACUCUUUUCUCUAAUCUCCUUUAAAUUGCUUAUAUAUUUGCUUAAACUGAGAGUGCAUUGCUAAUAUAAGUUUUAACAAUAAUUUUAAUUAGGAAUUAAUACUAAAAAACUUAUUUCAUCCCUUCAUAGUUUGCAUUCUAGCUAACAAUUAUGACUAGUACCCCCUCUCUCCCUCUCUCUCAAACUAAGCAGCAUUAGAAUUCAAAGAUACUAGGAAUGGUAAAUCUCAAUGAUGGUGACACUAAAUAGUAUUAGCACACAAACAUGUGACAACUUUAAAAAUGACACCUUUAAAGAAGAAUUUGAGUAGAAUGACUAUAGUAGUAGUAGCUAGCACAAAUAUGGAAAUGUAAAAAGAGAGAAAUAAUUGGUGUGAAGGCUUAUCUUUGACUCAUAAUUAGCUUUUUAUAUCCUCUAACAUUGUGUACUUAAAAUCAUGGUAGGGAGGCUACUCUUAGAUUUGGUGGUGGGACUGGUUUUGCACAUUUGAAGAUGCCAAUUAUUCAACAUGAUAAAGCACUCAAGUAGGCGUGGUUUGCCUUGAAAAACGCACUCUCAAUCAUUGGUUGUCUUUUUGAAGAAGGGAGUUGGUGAUGGUGGGGUUCAAGAAGAUUCAAAAAGUAAGGCUUCAAUCAGAUGAUCAUAUACACAUUUGAAUGAUGAAUAUUAUGCUAUUCGGGUUUCCAGAGUUUUUUUUUUUUUUUUUUUGAAUUUUUUCACCUCUUUAAUGUACAGUCUUAUCAUGCUAUGUUCAAGUAUUAAUCUUAUAUUACUAGACUGGAGUGUUGAAUGAGUUAUGAUUUUAUAUGGUGUCUGAACCUCAAUCUUCAUCUAAUGGCUAAAUUUUU